UAGGGAAUAUUGGGCAAUGGAUGCAAGUCUGACCCAGCCAUGCCGCGUGCAGGAAGAAGGUCCUCUGGAUUGUAAACUGCUUUUUUGGGGGAAGAAUAGUUUUCUUGCGAGGAAAUGUGACGGUACCCUAAGAAUAAGCCACGGCUAACUACGUGCC
rnacentral:rRNA from 1 species